rnacentral:rRNA from 1 species
GAUGAACGCUGGCGGCGUGCCUAAUACAUGCAAGUCGAGCGAACAGAUGAGGAGCUUGCUCCUCUGACGUUAGCGGCGGACGGGUGAGUAACACGUGGAUAACCUACCUAUAAGACUGGGAUAACUUCGGGAAACCGGAGCUAAUACCGGAUAAUAUAUUGAACCGCAUGGUUCAAUAGUGAAAGACGGUUUUGCUGUCACUUAUAGAUGGAUCCGCGCCGCAUUAGCUAGUUGGUAAGGUAACGGCUUACCAAGGCAACGAUGCGUAGCCGACCUGAGAGGGUGAUCGGCCACACUGGAACUGAGACACGGUCCAGACUCCUACGGGAGGCAGCAGUAGGGAAUCUUCCGUAGUGGGCGAAAGCCUGACGGAGCAACGCCGCGUGAGUGAUGAAGGUCUUCGGAUCGUAAAACUCUGUUAUUAGGGAAGAACAAAUGUGUAAGUAACUAUGCACGUCUUGACGGUACCUAAUCAGAAAGCCACGGCUAACUACGU